rnacentral:tRNA from 1 species
AUUUAAAUAGCUUAGAUUAGAGCGUGACGUUGAAGUUGUUGAGGUGAUUAUUUUAAUCUUUAAAUA